rnacentral:lncRNA from 1 species
GUCUUGAAGCCCAGCAUGGCAGCCUGAAAAGAAGGUUGGAGCCAAUUUACAGAUGGCUCUGAAUCCAGGGGAAGGUGGACUGAAGACUUACAGUUUUGAUGCUGUUUAUAUGUCCUUGACCUGAUGCACCCCCAAAACACGAGUUACUAAAAUAAAACAGAAGAUAGCAACAAUUGCAGCAGAGAGUUAAUAUUUCAGUGCGGACUUCACACACAGCAAAAAGAACAAUAGGGAUGAGCUCAGCAGCACGGACCUGUCACUUCUCGAGAGGCAAGGCUUCUCCAUGUUCCCCCAAUGUUAGGAAGAGGUGCAUGUACCACACAAUGGGCCACCAAACGGAUUCACAGCAAAGCUGGAUGUUGGAAUAGCUUCAGACCAUCAACCCAGACUUGGAAAUUUCAAAAGCCACACAGAUAUGAUGGAGAUCUGUGGAUUUAAAGAACACUGGAGCUGGGGUGGAGGCCUGCCUGCCCUGUAAGUGUGACAACCCGAGUUCAGGUCCCUGGGAUCCAUAGAAAGGAUGGACAGG